UCCGGUUGAUCCUGCCGGAGGCUACUGCUAUUGGAAUUCGACUAAGCCAUGCGAGUCAAGGUUUUUUCGGACGCCGGGCAUACGGCUCAGUAACACGUAGGUAACCUACCCCUCAGGACUGAGAUAACCCCGGGAAACUGGGGCUAAUAUUAGAUAGAUAAAAGAUACUGGAAUGUUCUUUUUAUCCAAAGCUUUUGCGCCUGAGGAUGGGCCUGCGCCCGAUUAGGUUGUUGGUGGGGUAAUGGCCCACCAAGCCUACGAUCGGUACGGGCAGUGGGAGCUGAAGCCCGGAGUUGGGGACUGAGACAAGGCCCCAGGCCCUACGGGGCGCAGCAGGCGCGAAACCUCUGCAAUGCGGGAAACCGUGACAGGGGGAUUCCAAGUGCUCAUGCAUUGCAUGGGCUGUUCUUUGGUCUAAGUAACCAGAGGAGUAAGGGCUGGGCAAGACCGGUGCCAGCCGCCGCGGUAAUACCGGCAGCUCAAGUGGUAGCCGCGAUUAUUGGGCCUAAAACGUUCGUAGCCGGAUAAGUAAGUCUUUGGUUAAAUCCUGCGACUUAACCGUGGGAAAUCUAGAGAUACUGCUUGUCUUGAGACCGGGAGAGGUUGGAGGUACUCCCAGGGUAGGGGUGAAAUCCUGUAAUCCUGGGGGGACCACCUGUGGCGAAGGCGUCCAACUGGAACGGGUCUGACGGUGAGGGACGAAACCUAGGGGAGCGAGCCGGAUUAGAUACCCGGGUAGUCCUAGGCGUAAAUGAUGCGAGUUAAGUGUGGGGGCAUCCACGAGAUGGCCCUGUGCUGUAGGGUAGCCCGUUAAACUCGCUGCCUGGGGAAGUACGGUCGCAAGGCUGAAACUUAAAGGAAUUGGCGGGGGAGCACCACAAGAGGUGGAGGCUGCGGUUCAAUUGGAUUCAACGCCGG
rnacentral:rRNA from 1 species